CAGCAGCCGCGGUAAUAUGAAGGGUGCAAGCGUUAAUCGGAAUUACUGGGCGUAAAGCGUGCGUAGGCGGUGAGUUAAGUCUGCUGUGAAAUCCCCGGGCUCAACCUGGGAACUGCAUUUGUGACUGGCAAGCUAGAGUGUGGCAGAGGGGGGUGGAAUUCCGCGUGUAGCAGUGAAAUGCGUAGAUAUGCGGAGGAACACCGAUGGCGAAGGCAGCCCCCUGGGCCAACACUGACGCUCAUGCACGAAAGCGUGGGGAGCAAACAGGAUUAGAUACCCGGGUAGUCCCUGUCUCUUAUAC
rnacentral:rRNA from 1 species